UUACUUUCCAUUUGGGUGCAGUCACAGUUGUCAACAAUAUUCAGAAGCACCAAGUGUGAAAUCUCCUGAGGUGCUGAGUUUAUCAGGGCACAGGUCAUAUCACCUGACACAUUCAAGUGCUGUCUGAUGUGCCAUUAAAGCAGUGGCUCAGAAUGCAGACAUGUUCUCAAAUAGGCAACAACUAGAUGGUACUAUUUCGUUUAUAAGUGUUCUUUGUCUAAAUAAAUGCACAACCCACAGGGUCUAACUUAGGUCAGCUGUUUAGUUGGUCCCUGAGAUAAAGUCUUUUAAUCACAUAUUCUUGCCUAAUUUUUC
rnacentral:lncRNA from 1 species